rnacentral:piRNA from 1 species
UUGACCAACGUUUGCCAUUUCACAGCGGC